GUAUUAUUCAUAGUAAAUAUAACAUGACUGCAAAAACGUUGUCCUCAACAUAUGAGAGAGAAACUAAUAAAUGAAUUAAAAUAAAUUCCAAAAACUGGCAAAUAUGCAGUGUAGCUGCAACUCUGCAUCAGCUUUCACAUAUUGAUAGAAGGAUACCCACCCCUAUUUUCAUGCUGUAAUGAAGGUAACUUCUUCAUAUCCUUCUGAUGAGAAAUAACCACAGGUGUGUUGUGUUGUAGUUCAUAAAUAGCACUCUAUUUACCUAUUGAUACUUUGAAUAGAAAACUGAUAGUUGUUUUCUGCUGCAUGGUCUCGCUGAAUUAACGCGUCCCAGAAACUUCAUCAACUCAGGCAUUUAGAGGUGCAGUUUCCAUUUCUCUCUCCUUGUGUGUUGCCCAAUCUUGAGGUCUUGACUUUUCAACAACAGCAGAGAGGCGUUUCUGCAAGACUGAUGCCAGAAAGAGGAAAAUUGAGCACAUGCCGAACAUAACAGUAAUUGGAAAUGAGUCGACAUUGUACAACACAACGCACACGAAGAUAUUGAGAGGAAUGCGGAAAAAGUUCAUGAUUGUGCUUCUAGCCUCUUCAGGAAUGUAUUGGGACCUCAUUUUCAUUAUAGAAGGCCAAAAUAUUCCGACACAAGCCUCAAAUGCACAAAAGCCAAGAAGCUGAAUGCAGCCAGAGAAAGUAAUGCCUCCACCUUUUUCAGUAGAAGGUGUCACCAAGAAACUUGUCAAGACAGGGAUAAAGAGACAGACAGCAGAUACUGCAAAAACAAUCUGCAUAUAGCUUUCGACUUUGAGAGAUGAGCGAGCUAGUAAUCGAGAUGCAAGGGAGCUGCCCAACAUGGAAGAUAACAUGAAAGUCGCAAAGAUGAAGCCAUGAGGAAUCUCCUCUGAAUUAGGGCUCAGAGCAGGAGUCCAUAGAAACACAAAAGUAUACAUUGAACCCUCAAAUAGUGACUGUAUAGCACCCAACAAUGCAAUUUUCUCA
rnacentral:misc_RNA from 1 species